GCGCGGUUAGCUUAGUGGGAGAGCGCUCGCUUCACACGCGAGAGGUCACAGGUUCAAUCCCUGUACCGCGCA
rnacentral:tRNA from 1 species